rnacentral:tRNA from 1 species
GCGGCGAAAGCCGUAGUUGGUACGAAAAUCCCUCGCUCGUAAGAGCGUGCCGGUUCGAUUCCGGCUGGCCGCACCA